rnacentral:rRNA from 1 species
UACAACUCUUAGCGGUGGAUCACUCGGCUCGUGCGUCGAUGAAGAACGCAGCUAGCUGCGAGAACUAAUGUGAAUUGCAGGACACAUUGAUCAUCGACUCUUCGAACGCACCUUGCGGCCCCGGGUUCUUCCCGGGGCUACGCCUGUCUGAGGGCCGCUU